UGGGGAAUAUUGCGCAAUGGGCGAAAGCCUGACGCAGCGACGCCGCGUGAGGGAUGAAGGUUUUCGGAUCGUAAACCUCUGUCAGAAGGGAAGAAACCGCACUGUGCUAAUCAGCAGUGCCUUGACGGUACCUUCAAAGGAAGCACCGGCUAACUCCGUGCCAGCAGCCGCGGUAAUACGGAGGGUGCAAGCGUUAAUCGGAAUUACUGGGCGUAAAGCGCACGUAGGCUGCUUUGUAAGUCAGGGGUGAAAUCCCACGGCUCAACCGUGGAACUGCCUUUGAUACUGCUUAGCUUGAAUCCGGGAGAGGGUGGCGGAAUUCCAGGUUUAGGAGUGAAAUCCGUAGAUAUCUGGAGGAACAUCAGUGGCGAAGGCGGCCACCUGGACCGGUAUUGACGCUGAGGUGCGAAAGCGUGGGGAGCAAACAGG
rnacentral:rRNA from 1 species